CCAUACAUGUUUUGCUCACCACCUACUGCUAACUCUUCACCACACUCAGGGAUAUGGAAGAGCUGGAGAACCACAGGAGACUGUCACCACAUCCCCACAGGAUCUCCUGCUGAGGAGAGUACUGCAGCAGUCAAACCUGCAAUGGCCAGGCUGGUCAGCUUGAAGGGAGAUCUCUGAGUGCAAGGGCAAGCGCUGCACCUCUGGAAGGAAAGCUGCUACUCUACUUGCAAGUGAAUAGCCAUUGUCACCUGUCACAUUACUGCAGUGGUUGUAAUGAAGAAAACAAUGAGGUUGUGCUUUGGAGCUGCGGUACUUCAGGCACUUCACAUGAAAACAGAAGAGAGCCAGUGUAGGAGGGAAGCUGUUCAGUAUCAAGAUUUGGAUGCUUUUCUGGAAUGACUUACUUGACUUCAGUGGCAUCAGUUCUAACAGCAGCUAAAAUUCAAAUGCAGCAUCAAUCAUCCAGCGCAUCCAUGGCAGACACCAGACCAUCAGGUUUAAGGAUAACUUUCCCAUCACACUUAGUGAUGGUUGAAGCUGUUCAUGCAGCUGUGCAUCCAGGAAGUGGAGGAGCAGGAAGGGAUCCAGGUGUUUCAAACUGCAGAGAUUUCUUUUUAUGUCAGAGAUGCCUCAGUGAAGUGCCUGACGUCACAAGGAAGGGAGCUAGAACAUCAGUCUGCAUCUGUUGUCUUCUGCAGAGGGUUGUCAUCGGUCAUCUUGUCUGCAGA
rnacentral:lncRNA from 1 species